AGAGUUUGAUCCUGGCUCAGGAUGAACGCUAGCGACAGGCUUAACACAUGCAAGUCGAGGGGCAGCGAGGGAGUGGCAACACUUCUGUCGGCGACCGGCGCACGGGUGAGUAACGCGUAUGCAACCUGCCCUUCACAGGGGGAUAACCGGGAGAAAUUCCGACUAAUACCGCAUACGUCCUCCGGGGGCAUCCCCGGAGGAUGAAAGAUUUAUCGGUGAAGGAUGGGCAUGCGUGAUAUUAGGUAGUUGGCGGGGCAACGGCCCACCAAGCCUACGAUAUCUAGGGGUUCUGAGAGGAAGGUCCCCCACAUUGGUACUGAGACACGGACCAAACUCCUACGGGAGGCAGCAGUGAGGAAUAUUGGUCAAUGGACGCAAGUCUGAACCAGCCAUGCCGCGUGCAGGAAGACGGCUCUAUGAGUUGUAAACUGCUUUUGUACGAGGGUAAACGCUCUUACGUGUAAGAGCCUGAAAGUAUCGUACGAAUAAGGAUCGGCUAACUCCGUGCCAGCAGCCGCGGUAAUACGGAGGAUCCAAGCGUUAUCCGGAUUUAUUGGGUUUAAAGGGUGCGUAGGCGGUUUGAUAAGUUAGAGGUGAAAUACCGGUGCUUAACACCGGAACUGCCUCUAAUACUGUUGAACUAGAGAGUAGUUGCGGUAGGCGGAAUGUAUGGUGUAGCGGUGAAAUGCUUAGAGAUCAUACAGAACACCGAUUGCGAAGGCAGCUUACCAAACUAUAUCUGACGUUGAGGCACGAAAGCGUGGGGAGCAAACAGGAUUAGAUACCCUGGUAGUCCACGCAGUAAACGAUGAUAACUCGCUGUCGGCGAUACACAGUCGGCGGCUAAGCGAAAGCGAUAAGUUAUCCACCUGGGGAGUACGUUCGCAAGAAUGAAACUCAAAGGAAUUGACGGGGGCCCGCACAAGCGGAGGAACAUGUG
rnacentral:rRNA from 1 species